rnacentral:tRNA from 1 species
UCCCUGGUGGUCCAGUGGCUAAGACUCCACACUACUGAUGCAGGAAGCCCUGGUUCGAUUCCUGGUCAGGGAA